CAGUAGCCACGGGAAUACAGAGGGUGCAAGCGUUAAUCGGAAUUACUGGGCGUAGAGCGCGCGUAGGUGGUUUGUUAAGUUGGAUGUGAAAUCCCCGGGCUCAACCUGGGAACUGCAUCCAAAACUGGCAGGCUAGAGUAGGGCAGAGGGUGGUGGAAUUUCCUGUGUAGCGGUGAAAUGCGUAGAUAUAGGAAGGAACACCAGUGGCGAAGGCGACCACCUGGGCUCAUACUGACACUGAGGUGCGAAAGCGUGGGGAGCAAACAGGAUUAGAUACCCGCGUAGUCCCUGUCUUUUAUAC
rnacentral:rRNA from 1 species